ensembl:lncRNA
CCCGGAGCGGACGGAGUCGGAGCUUCUUUCCCUCUCCCCCGUGGAGCUCUUGAAUAAAAUAAAAUUUAAAGAAGAAAAUCGCAGUCGGAGUUUAAAUUCGGGAGACAAAAGUGGUUUUUUUACUCGGCCAGAGGAAUAAAACAGGAUUUCCGCUGUAAGGCGCGAACCGGUUGAAGCGCAGUGAAGGACCGAGGUGAUGAGAGACGGAGCGGAGUCGGUGAAUCGGUUGCGGAGUCGUUUGGCAUGUUACAUCGCAUUUGGAGGUUUGAUUUGCAAUGGGUCGUCUCCACUAACACAACGCUACGUGUCAUGCCGCACUAGCAACGUCAGUGCUUGGACCCGCCAGUCGCUGCUCGCGUGCAUUCGUUGAACAUUCGUUAAUAAAAGAAAAAAAAAGAAGCUUGACACCACAAUCAGUCCUGAAGAGUUUCCUGUGGUGGAAAACCUACACACACUGGAGAAAAACCCAUACACACUGUAGAUUUGCCUUGUAGGAAUCUACAUUUAGUUACCAGGAUCUGAGGGAUGCAGUAACGUCGAUUGUGAUUGGCUGCAGACUUUUUAGUAGAAAUGAUGCCACACGUCAGACUUUUUUUAUUUUUAUGUAUAUAUAUAUAUAUAUCUGUUUAUAGUUAUGUUUAACGUUGUUCAUCCCUGUGCUAUCGUGGAACCAUUUCAGAAUAUCGGAACUUAAUAAAGUCAUUCGUAGCUACGACUGGCCAAUCCGUAUUGAAAAUUCACCAGUUACGAUGAUAGCUGUACGACGUCCACGCUAUACCGUAAGUCCUGCUUGUAGU